AGACUCCCGCCUGGGUAAUCGCUAGCCACGAGCCCAGUAUCGAGCCUUGCGGCGCAACUCGUAACAGGCGCGCCGAUGCGUAGACAUGACAACACGGAUAGGAAAAGGGACUGAGCCGCGAGUCUGGGGCUGGCGGAGGGCG
rfam:Thiocapsa sp. KS1 genome assembly, scaffold: THKS1_scaffold1